AAACCAACAGGGAUUGCCUCAGUAACGGCGAGUGAAGCGGCAAAAAGCUCAAAUUUGAAAUCUAACACUUUCAGUGUUCGAGUUGUAAUUUGAAGAAAGUUUCUCCGAGUAGUCCUUUAUCUAUGUUCCUUGGAACAGGACGUCAUAGAGUGUGAGAAUCCCGUAUGAUUUUGGAUACUAUUCUUUGUGAGAUUCUUUCGAAGAGUCGAGUUGUUUGGGAAUGCAGCUCUAAGUGGGUGGUAAAUUCCAUCUAAAGCUAAAUAUUGGCGAGAGACCGAUAGCGAACAAGUACAGUGAUGGAAAGAUGAAAAGAACUCUGAAGAGAGAGUGAAAAAGUACGUGAAAUUGCUGAAAGGGAAGGGCUUUAGGCCAGACUUGGUGUUUAAAUGAUUAUCUUCUCUUUUUGAGUUGUGCACUCGUUUUCACUGGGCCAAUAUCAGUUUUUGUGGUAGAGCACCUACUGGAAUGUAGCUUUCUUCGGAUGAGUGUUAUAGCCUUUAGACGAUCUAUUUAC
rnacentral:rRNA from 1 species